rnacentral:rRNA from 1 species
CGUUAGGAUGAACGCUGGCGGCGUGCCUAACACAUGCAAGUCGAACGGAAGCUUAACGCUGACGAGACUUCGGUCAAAUCUGUAAGCUUUAGUGGCGGACGGGUGAGUAACGCGUGGGCAACCUGCCUCAUACUGGGGGAUAACAGUUCGGAAACGACUGUUAAUACCGCAUAAGCGCACAGCAUCGCAUGAUGCAGUGUGAAAAAACUCCGGUGGUAUGAGAUGGGCCCGCGUCAGAUUAGCUAGUUGGUGGGGUAAAGGCCUACCAAGGCGACGAUCUGUAGCCGGACUGAGAGGUCGGACGGCCACAUUGGGACUGAGACACGGCCCAAACUCCUACGGGAGGCAGCAGUGGGGGAUAUUGCACAAUGGAGGAAACUCUGAUGCAGCGACGCCGCGUGAACGUGAAGAAGUAUUUCGGUAUGUAAAGCUCUAUCAGCAGGGAAGAAAGGCUCGAAAGAGAGAUGACGGUACCUGACUAAGAAGCCCCGGCUAACUACGUGCCAGCCGCUGC